CUAUCAGUUUGGCCUUCUCCCAGAAGCAGAAAACUAACUAUAAAUAUGAAACCAGUUUCACUACUGGACCCAGACUUCACAUCAGAAACAAACUUCUCACCUAGGAGUGUCUGCAAUGCAAACAGCGAAAUCAAGGACAUAAGAGAGCCCAGAUUGCUGCCCAGCUCCUUGGAGAGAGGCCAGAGCAUUUGUCAGGAACUGAAAAGUUUUGGAGCCUGUUCGAGGACUUUCUGGUACACAAAGUAUUGGCUGGAAAUGUGAAUAUAAAACUGAGACAUGAACCUGACCAAGUCCCUUCUACGAGGCUUGUAUAAACAGCUCAUUUGACUGUCUUAACAGUUUUUGACACUCUGGUCUAGAAGUUCUUUGAGAUGUUGUGACAGAUAUAAUGGAGUUUUCUUCUCUUAGGAGAAUACCUUGUCUGAUGUUCACAUGUUUAACCUGUGGUUAUAAUGUUUACAUAUUUAACUUUCGGUCUCCAGCAUCUACCCAGUCUGAUGUUCACAUGUUUCACUUGUGGUCUCCAGCAUCCACCUAGUAUAAUGUUUAUAUGUUUAACCUACGGUCUCCAGCAUCCACCUGGUCUGAUGUUCACAUGUUUAACCUGUGGCUUCUGGCAUUCACCUAAUCUGAUGUUCACACGCUUAACCUGUGGUCUCCAGCAUCCUCACAAUUUGCCUGUUAUCUGUCUUAAGCUGCAAUGCAUGAUAGGAAAGCACAGAUGUUCUGUCUUAAAUGGGGGGGGAGGAUGGUUAAUGAGCUUUGAGUGAGUUCGUAUACGUAAAUUAUGGGGGAGAAGGCUAUUUACAAAGAAUAAAUCUGACUUACACAUUUCAGGACCCUGGUUUCCACUUUCUCUGGGGUUUCGAAGCGGGCUCUAAAGUGUGAAGUUGCCUGACGAGUCCAGAGUUACUCUCCAGUAAAAACAAGAAGACGCCCACGAAAGCAUAAAUCCGAGCUGGAUUAGCAGUGUUUAGUUUGGGAUGACGGAGGAUAAGAGCUUUCUGGUUGUGCAAGUGAGAUAAGUGUUUUUGUUCGUGUUUGUCAAGGAUGACCUAUGCGCAAACUACAAAAGGACUUUGCCUUUUUCUUGGCGCUGGCUUGUGUUCCUGGGAGCUUCACGGCAUUCCGUCCUGAAGCAGCACAGACGAGUUGAUUUUUAUUUUAUGUUGUGCUUGUGAGGCAUUAGCAUGAUGUUCUAACACUUGUAAAUGAAUACAGCUCUUGCCUAAUCUGUCAUUUUAAUGCCUUAUAGAUUUUAUUUCACUCGAUGUUGUACCAGAUUCUCAAUAAUAAUAAUCAACAGCUUUGUUGUUCUCUGGCAGAAAUUAAAUUUCUGCAGUGAGUGUGCAACUAAUAAAAAAUGUUGCUUGAGGAAACAAAGAAUAAAUAUGAUGAAUCAUAAAAGUUGGGGGGAGGCCUUGCUCCUAGAUGGAAGACAAUUACGGACCGAGUGGCGAAUGUGUCUGAUUCUCAUCUUGUCAACAGCUUAAUAACCCUCCGAAAGUCUUUAGCCACAGUGCUUAUGUCUGCGCAUUAACCUCACGGACUUGGUGUUUUCCGUGAUUUCAUUUGGAAGCAUUAGAAUAAAAGGUGCGGUACUAAGACGGCCGUUCUCUUUGCUGUGCGCCCCAGAUAAGUUUUGCUCACAGCUGCCAGUUUGCACUCUCACAUUCCUUUUAUCUUGUCCCCUGUCAUAAGCCAUCCAGAAGAGCAGCAUUAAAGGCAGCGGUGUGGGACUCGGAGUAUUGGCAAAGGCUGUAAAGUGGAAAAUAAACAGUGUGUCUAUCACCAGGCUACAAGAACGCAGCCCCCAUAGCUCGGAAAUGACAGUCCGUGGCAAGCAACUAAUUGGUCACCAGCUUUGGAAGAAAUAUAUUCUUCCAGACCUCUGUCACUUGCCAUGUUCUUUAAACUCAUGAAAAAAAAAACCACCAGGUUGAAGUGUUGGCACUAACCUCCGAAGGAAAGAAAAUGGAGAGCUAAGGCUGCAGGGCUGAGUGAACGCUUUGGAGACCCAGUGAUUGGAGCCAUUCACUGCUAAGAAGAAAGGCUUUCCUGUAAAACAACAGACUUGCCCAUUGUGCACAGGUACCCUGUGAGGUGAACGCGAGGUGUGUGAUGAAUGCGGGAUGUCACAGAACAUCUUCCUGAGAGAGAAUUUAAUGUGGGGACUGAGUCUCCAUGUGCCCCUCGCCCCUUUUGUCUAUCUUGGUGCGGUUGUGACGCUGGUGAGUUUCAGGAGAGCAAGAGAAAACUUGUUCAUAUCCUAAGAGAAGGGUGUCUGAAACACCUGUUAUUUAAAUGUGUGCCUCCAAUCAGCCUAACUUGGUUAAUGAUGCUUUCGUGUGUCAGACUAAAGUCCAGCAUCCUCGUCAGACUAACCAUUUGGUCAUCUUAGGAACACAGAUGCAUAUACGCCAGGAGCUGGGGGGGCUAGCAGCUUUAGAAACCAAACACUGCUGCUGUGGUGCUGAGCCUCGCAUCUGCUGGCAUGAGUGGACCUUAGAGGGCCCCAGACCUCUAGAGUUGUACCCUUUCGUUUAUUGGCGUAUGUGCAUUGUGCAAAAGUUCACUGGUCUCUUCAGAUUCUUACACAAGUACAAAGCGACAACAGGGGAAAUCACAUAAGAGUUGACUAAAAGCCGUGCUGUGACUUGAAUGUGAAAAGUCCCUUGAAGGCUCCUGCUGUUUCUAGAGGUAGUAUUGUUUGGGGAGGCUAUGGGAACUCUGGGACCUGUAGACAGCCUGCUGAGCAUGGGGGCUCAUGUCUAUAAUUCUAUCACUCAGAGCUGAAGCAGAAAUAUUGUGAGUCUGGUGUGAUCUUGAACUACUACAGUAAGAUCCAUUGUCAGAGGGUGGAGGGGAAAGAGGGAGAGAAAGCAAGUCUUCCAGUCUUCCUUUCUUCUCUCCUUGGGCUUGGGGUAGGGCGACAGACUCCCUGGCUGCUCCUCUGGACUUCUCUGUCAUUUUCUUUCACAGGCGAAUACUCCUCUAAAUUCCUUGCACAUCAAGUUCUAUCUUGGCACUGGUUUCUGGAAGAUCUUAAAAUUCACAUUUUUAACAUAAUAAUCAAAUUCACAUUGUUUUCACCAUUCAAUGGUUGCCAAAUAGUGUGUUGCUUAGAUCUCUCAUUUAAUCCCCUCAAAUCGCAAGAGAUAUUGGCUGAGUUUUGUAAGCAAUGCCCCUAAGAGGAGGCUGAGGUUAGCCUGGGGGACAUGGGGAGACCCUGUGUCAAGCAAAACAACAUAACAACAGGGAGCAGACAACAAAACCCGAGGAAUCACCCUUCUUUAGAGGAGGGACAUCAUCUAUAGGGCAGUAGAUUGCAGAGUUACCACAUGAAGAACAUUCUGUUCUGUUUUUCCCACGCAGCUCAUGGCCACUAAACCAUCACCUUCUUGAAGUAACUGGAAGGAGUUCUCCUUUCCAAGACACAUUAAUAACAGAAAUUGCCUCUGUGUGCCCUUGGCCAUGACCAUGCUGGAAAAGGAAGUCGUUACUCAGCUUGGCUUCCCUGCUUAUGAACACUGAUAAGGGAGUCCUACAGGAACACACAGAAGCUUACCAGGAAACACAAAUUAAGAGGAUGGCCAGAUGGAUGAAAUCUCUCAGAGAACCAUGUGUACUGCACCUUGACAUUCGACUCCGCUGCAGUAGUCUGGAAAGGAGUGUCUCUUACAGAAAUACCAAGGCAUGCUGCCCACUGGUAAAGGUGGAGUGGAAAAAUGACAUGGUCCCUUUGGGUCCUUGCCCAAGACAUCAUGCCUCCCUGGCAUGCACACUGACCAGAGGUGGCAUUGCCUGGACCUCAGCUCCAAUUCCACAAAUGCAGACCUUUUGGUAUUGUCUUGGGGUCUCUAGCUUCAAAACACAGUGUUACAGAUUUUACUAUGUCUCCUUUCUAAGCCUUUUUCCCUUGGCAUGGGUAUUCUGCUUACCCCACUGGUGACUCCCCUUGCCCCCGCUGUCUCUCAGGCCUUGAAUGCUGAUGUGUGCUGGAAAUGAAGGCGCUCUCGCAGCCCCUGUUGACACUGGUCUAAGAUCUCUGUCUGAGGUACUAUCAGGGAAUUCGCAGGGCAUUCAUCAAAAUCAAGCUGAUGCAAGCGUGAGUAGUCACAGAAAGAACCCUUUUAUGCUGAAAACUGCUGAAGGCUGGAAAGGGGCUAAUUUAUUUAAAUUAUCCCUCGACGUGUCAAGUCCCACAUUUUCUGGAAGGAGCUGACAAGGGUGGGUUAAAGAAAGUUUUCUCAAAUUUAUAAAUACAUUAGUGGUGGUGGAAAGUGAACCUGGGAAAUCGGAGUAACAGAAAAGCAAUCACCAUCAAUGCCGAUGCCGAUGGAGGAAAAUACAGUUUUCUUCUAUUAAGCUUUUAAAUGUCAGCAAAUGGCAGUUUAGUAGAUCAUUUGCUAAUAAUGAUUAAAUUUCUCAUUAAAAUGUUUCCUUCAUUAUUCUUCAGGUAUAAAUGUGUAAUUCAAUGAUUGUUACAUCAAUUACACUUAAAAAGCUCAUUAAAAUACUGAAAUAUUAUCUCAUAGAGUACUUUAAGAGUACUGUACUAAUUAUAAAAGAAAUAAACUCUUAUAAUAGCACCAUUUGAACUGAUGCCUUAUAAAUUCUUAAUGUAAAGCUAACAUGUAAAGUUUAAAUCAAAUAUAUAGAUCCAAUAAAACAAAACCUUUUUAAUCUUGUUUUACCUUCAGAAGGGCUCUGAUUAUUGUAAUUAAAUAAUGCAUGAUAUAAUAAAGAUCUAGACUGUGUGA